rnacentral:hammerhead_ribozyme from 1 species
AUCCAACUGAUAAGUCCCAAAUAGGACAAAAUGCGCAUCCUGGAU